ACAUUAGAGUAGAAAUGUCUUCAAAAUGCCCCUGGUUCUCUAACAAAUGUCUACGAAGAGCUCUGAGAGCUGAACCUCGGGAGGUAAUUACCUCUCCCUUUGGGGGUCUGUCUGUCUGUAGGCGUGACUGAAGGCACAGAGGGCUCAGCCUUGGCCCCUUCCUCUUACUCACGUCAGAGGCCUGGGCAAGAUAUGGGGUACCUGCGAGGCUCCAUUUUCUCGUUCGUGAAGUGAAGGGAAUUUGUUCCCUACUUGAAGGAGCUUGUUGUGAUUGAGAUAAUGCAUGUGUGGCUCUCGCACGUUAAGAGCUUGAUUCAUGAGAGCUCGGAUUACGGGGGUUGUUGGCCUCGCGAAAGAAUCAACUGGGCUGGCGACAAGGAAACCCACAGCACUACCACCCGCCAGCGCAGCAUUAAUGCAAACGCAAAGAGCCCUCCUGUGGCUCCUCCCCACGUGUUUCCUAAAUGUCCCAGUAAGGACACAGGACUCCGCAGCUGCUCUGACUGUGUGCCGGGCACCGAGCUGACAGCAGGUGGACAAGCUGUCCAGGGCUCACGCUGAGAGCCUAGCACCCCCAAGCCCCGCAGGGCUGGGCAAACCAGGAUGGCUCGCCAGCUAAGCAGAGAGCCUUGCAGCCAUUUAAUCUGCAAAGUGACCUUUCGGGAGAAGUGCUUCGGUUCCUAUUUUACAGGAUUUAACCCUCUUUGGGCAAACAAUGGACCAAACGGAGCCAGAGAACUGAUGAUGCCAAUUCUUGCUGGCCCCCAGGACUUUGAUCCACCAGGACCCCAGGAUUUCGACCCUCCAGAUCCGUGGGACUUUGAUCCAUCAGGACCUGGACUCUGUCAACUUACUGGGUGACUUGUGCCCCAAUUCUAGACUUCCCUUGCCACGCCCGUCACGAAUGUGCAUGCAUCUUUAGCUUAAAACUUGCCCAAUUUUGUUGUUCGGGGUGGGGAGGGCACCGUUUGGGGAAAAAUCCCCAGUAGACUCCCUAUUUGUUGCACGCAAACCACUUCCUGAUCCCAGGGUCUGGCUUGGUUGUGUCUUUUGGCCCCACUUCUGCCAAGAGACGAACCCACUUUCAGGUGGCACCUUCUCAUUUUCACUCAGCCUUUAUUUCAUUGCCAAAUUCUCACUUGUUAAGAGAUGCUCUUCCAGACCUCCUUGUUUAGGUCAACGUCCUCCCUCCUAAGGCUCUUUCUUGUAUUUUCAUAGCACGUCAUGUGGCUGUUAACUGACAUUUAUUUAUAGGCUAUUUUGAGUGAGUGCAUGAGACUGAGUGUGUGAGUGUGUGUGAGUAUGUGUGAGUGUGUGUGUGAGCGUCUGUCCCCCACUGGAACUUACACUGACUGCAGACAGGCAGGCACCACGUGUGAUGUUUUAUUUCAUCUGUUCUACUUCGUCUUACUAAUCACUGUAUCCCCAGCACACAGAGGGGUCUGAUUCAAUUUUUGCUUUUGUUUUGGUUGACUGGUUUGUUUUGAAUGAGGCGAGGAGUCUUGCCCGGGGUGGGUCAACGUGAAUUAGGUUCUCAAGUCACACAGCACCAAGGAAGACACUUAACUCAGGUUCCCUCCCCACCUCCAACUUCCCUAUGCCAGGAAGCCUAGCAGGCUGCAUGGCCUUUGGGCAGAAAGUUCCGGCACCUUAUGCAUCAUGCUCACGAAUCUCGGGCAGCCACUGGGUGUUGGUUCCUACCACCGUUUCCACGUCGUUCCUGAAAGUUGUUGCAUCAUCCUCAGAAGGUUUUCUGGCUCAAAGUGGUGGUUAAGAUGCAAAACUAUUCCCGGGGCUGGAACCAGCCCCUCUGAGCUGCUGGCCAAAACACCAAGGUUUGUACCAGGCCAGUUAAAGGCAACAGGCAGACCUUCUUCACGUGUAGCUGAUCCUGGAGUAUGGAGCUUGAACAGAAUCCAUUGUCAUCUGUCUUUCGUUUUUGUUUCUGUUGUUGUAUGCUUGUUUUCGUCUAAACGUUUAAAACUUCUACUUUCGCCAAAAAGCAACAUGAUGCCCGUGUUUAAAGCAAAGAGGAAUAAAAUCUCAGAUUCUCAAGGGUUCUGUACAAAUGCCAGUUUAUAAGGCAUGUACGUGUCUUGGGAAAGUCACUUGAUCUCA